rnacentral:rRNA from 1 species
CCCGCUGAACUUAAGCAUAUCAAUAAGCGGAGGAAAAGAAACUAACAAGGAUUCCCCUAGUAACGGCGAGUGAAGCGGGAAAAGCUCAAAUUUAAAAUCUGGCAGGUACCCUGUCCGAGUUGUAAUUUGAAGAAAUGUUUUCGGUAUUCGUCUGGGUAUAAGUCCUUUGGAACAGGGCAUCAUAGAGGGCGAGAAUCCCGUUUAUGACCCGGAAUUGGAUACUGUGUGAUACAUUCUCUAAGAGUCAGGUUGUUUGGGAAUGCAGCCUAAAAUGGGUGGUAAAUUUCAUCUAAAGCUAAAUAUUGGCGAGAGACCGAUAGCGAACAAGUACCGUGAGGGAAAGAUGAAAAGAACUUUGAAAAGAGAGUUAAACAGUACGUGAAAUUGUUGAAAGGGAAACGUUUGAAAUCAGUCAUGCGGGCGGGUAAUCAGCUUGGCCCUUGGGUCUUGUGCACUUUCCCGUGUCGCAGGUCAGCGUCGGUUUUGUUUGCCGGAUAAAUGCCAAGGGAAUGUAGCUCCACCUUUUACGAGGAGGGGUGUUAUAGCCCUGGUAAAUACGGCGGUCGAGAUCGAGGUCUGCAGUCGAUGCCUCUGGCUGGGGACUCCAUCGCUCAUUCUCACCCGCGCCUAGACAGCUUGCUGACUAGGUGUGUGGUCUGGGGGUGACACGGUGGCCUACCACACAUUUCGACUUAGGUCGCUGACGUAAUGGUUUUAAAUGACCCGUCUUGAAACACGG